CCCUCGUUGGUAAACAAAUUAAAUGAACUAGUGUUGGGCCAAAAGUUCCCAUCCUUGAAGAAACAUCAAUACGUGUUUGAAAUAUUAACAUAAAAAAAAUCAAAAUCAGCAUUAACUUAUGAUCCAAAAUCUGUUAGUCUCUUUUGAUUUGGUCACUAUUAUCAGCUACCAAUUACUGUGAAAAUAUAAUGAAAUAAUACACGGCAUAAAAAUGAAAUUAAAGAACCAAUAAAUACACAACAGCAUGGAAAAAUCAAGAAAAAAACAAUAAAUUUCACAGCAUCACUCUUUAAAUGGAAAAACGCUUUUGUAAAUCCUAAUAUUAGCAGAAAUAUUGCUCUCUCCACACCAAACAGAGCAAAUACAGUCACAAACCCCAUUGAGAGCGUCACUCCAACAAAACAAAACAGUAAUAACUUGAAUGCAAAAACUAGAGUUGUCCGAGCUUGCAUUUGAUCUGGUAUAAUGGAGUAAAUAGUGUAUAAAUGAGCCCCGAAUGUGACCCCGGGAGCAGCAUGGCACGCUAUGAGCACAUCUGACCACGUCCGUACACUGACAGCUGUUCCUACAGUCAGUCCUAGACCGGCUAUGAACACUAUACUGGGAAAUGUAAAGAUCAUGACUAAAAACAUUAUGAUUUGGUGUCCAUGUCGCGAAUUUGCAAGGUCAUGAUAUGCAACAGCUACUGGGAAAGUGGAGGAUAGGAUCAAAUUUAAAGGAACAGCAACAUCUGGAUUGAGAAUAUUUCUUAUAGUGACCGUAAAACUAACAAGUACAAAUAAUAUUUCCGCAAAAUGAAAAUGUUCAUGCGUUAUUUUAGUGAAAAUAAAAGCAGUGUUCAGUAAAAUGAGUAAAAUCCAUCGUGCAGUUUCUGCUGAACUGUCAUGUGUUUCAGAGAGGAUUUGAUUUUGUUCAUGCACAUCUUGAAUGGUUUCAUCUGCUUCUAACUUUUCACUCAGUGCUGAGUGAAAUCUGUGAUCAUUGAGCCGAACUAACUUGUGUAUUUCUGUUAUAAGAGUUGUUCUUUGAGCAGGUUUUGGUUCAGAGUCUCUUAUGAUGUGAAAUCUUCCUCCACAUGCGUUGAUCAUUUCUCCAGCAAUCCCUCUGGAGGCUCCUGUCAAAGGUUCCUGGUGAUUUUGGAGCAGAAGAACAAUGCAGUACUGGAGGACUUCUGCUCCCAGCAGCUCCUGGGCUCGUUUCUCAAUAUCACACUGUUGUGAUUGUUGAUCUUCCAGAUUCAGGACCAUUAGAACGGCGUGAGGUCCAGGAGACGAGAGAAACAGCGCUGUUGUGAAGAAGAUCUGCAGCACUGAAUCUGGACUGACCUCUGACUCCCACAACCAGGAUCCUCAGAGCCUCAUCAUGAGAUGCUGAAAUAAUGUGA
ensembl:lncRNA